rnacentral:rRNA from 1 species
GACGAACGCUGGCGGCGUGCUUAACACAUGCAAGUCGAACGGAAAGGCCCUGCUUUUGUGGGGUGCUCGAGUGGCGAACGGGUGAGUAACACGUGAGUAACCUGCCCUUGACUUUGGGAUAACUUCAGGAAACUGGGGCUAAUACCGGAUAGGUGCUCCUGCUGCAUGGUGGGGGUUGGAACGUUUCGGCGGUUGGGGGUGUAUUCGCGGCUUAUCAGCUUGUUGGUGGGGGAGUUGCUAACCCAGGGUUUGACGGCUAGGCGGCAUGAGAGGGUGGACGGGGACAUGAGGACUGCGGGACGGACCAGACGGGAACGGGGGGCAGCGGUGGGGAAUAUGGCACAAUGGUGCGGAGCCUGAGGCAGCAACGUCGCGUGUGGGAUGACGGCCUUGUGGUGGGAAAGGGCUGUAGGCUGAGACCAAGCGUGAGUGACGGUACUGGGUAAAGAAGCACCGGCUAACUACGUG